UGUACGAGAAUCUACCUAAAAGUUUGGCAUAGUAGAAAUUCCAAAUAUAUUGAAAGAUUGAUAUCGCUUUUAGAUGAGCUCGUAUAAGAUUAGGUAGUUGGUAGGGUAAUGGCUUACCAAGCCUACGAUCUUUAGCUGGUCUGAAAGGACGAUCAGCCACAUUGGAACUGAGACAAGGUCCAAACUCUUUUAUAUGAGGCAGCAGUAGGGAAUAUUGGACAAUGAGCGAAAGCUUGAUCCAGCAAUAUUUCAUGAGUGAACAGACAGUUGUCAAGUUGUAAAACUCUUUCAGCAAUAAAU
rnacentral:rRNA from 1 species